UUAGUAUUCCCUCUGUCCGAAAAUACUUGUCAUCAAAAUGAAUAAAAGGGGAUGUAUCUAGAUGUAUUUUAGUUCUAGAUACCUCCCUUUUUGUCCAUUUUGAUAUCAAGUAUUUUCGGACAGAGGGAGUACAUA
rfam:Triticum aestivum genome assembly, contig: Triticum_aestivum_CS42_TGACv1_scaffold_061193_1DL